UAGAUACCCUGGUAGUCCACACAGUAAACGAUGAAUACUCGCAGUUUGCGAUACAGUGUAAGCUGCCAAGCGAAAGCAUUAAGUAUUCCACCUGGGGAGUACGCCGGCAACGGUGAAACUCAAAGGAAUUGACGGGGGCCCGCACAAGCGGAGGAACAUGUGGUUUAAUUCGAUGAUACGCGAGGAACCUUACCCGGGCUUGAACUAGCUCCGACGACUCAAGAGAUUGAGUUUUCUUCGGACGGAGUUA
rnacentral:rRNA from 1 species